rnacentral:rRNA from 1 species
GACGAACCGUCCAAACGUUAUUCGGAAUCACUGGGCUUACAGAGUUCGUAGGCGGUCCAAAAAGUUAGGUGUGAAAUCCCUCGGCUUAACCGGGGAACUGCGUCUGAUACUGGAUGGCUAGAGGUUGGGAGAGGGAUGCGGAAUUCCAGGUGUAGCGGUGAAAUGCGUAGAUAUCUGGAGGAACACCGGUGGCGAAGGCGGCAUCCUGGACCAAUUCUGACGCUGAGGAGCGAAAGCCAGGGGAGCAAACGGG